UCAGAUAUAUGGUACAAGAUGCAAGAUUUUUGCCACCUGCGGCUGCUCUAUGCACUAUCGACUGUUUAGUUCCCAAAAAUAAUUCAACCAUGCACAUACUCUAUUUUCAGACUAUCAUUUACUCUUAUAGUGCAUUUGGAUUCACGCUUUUUAUAUGUACAAGGAGUUUUCCAAAAACACGUUCUUAAGCUCUUUUGACGCAUUUAUGCAGACUGGGAGGCUGCAGCAAACCCUAGCGGAUUGCGUGGAGCGGCAAGGCAAGGCGUUGCAUUCGGGAAAGGUUUCGACGGUGAGACUGUGUCCCGAACGCGCUUCCCGAGGCAGGUACUUCGAUUUUCGUUCCAAUUUCGUUCCCGCCUCUGUUGAAUUCGCUCAGGUCUCGCCCCUCUGCACCACUCUGUACAAAGGCGGGUUCCGAAUUCGAAUGUGGAAGAAGUUGGUUUGACGGUGGCCACUGAUCUUGAUGGCAAAAGUGUUGAGAAAAUGGCACCACAUGUGAAUGAACCAGUGUAUGCUUGGAGAAAUGAUUCUUUUGUUGCUGCAUUUCCUUCCGAAGUGGUUCGAAUAACUUAUGGCGUUAACUUUUCGCAGGCACCUGUUAUUGGCUGCUAGUGGUUUUCUACACCCCCCUUGGAUAAUUUGGUGUACACUUAAGACUUGUGCAGGGGCUGCCAUCCUAACAGACAUUGUAUUUUGGGUUUGGGGUGUUAUAGUCCCAUUCUUACAAAUUCCUUAACAGACUUGUGCAGGGGCUGCCAUCCUAAGCUUUGUUCUACAACAUUAGUUGUAAGCAUAUGUUGUUGUUCCCAAACAGGUGGCCAUAUCCCUUUCUGGAGCUUAAUAACAAGUGGGCUCCUAUAUGGUAUUUGUGCCUGGCAGUAAUUCAUGCCCCUUGCUAUGGCGUGUAUUAUCUGAUAGUGCGAGCCAAAAUACGAUUCUCCCCAGAUUGUUCCCUCAAGCAUUUUUGUCAUAGGAAGUUCCAGACUAUGAAGGAAUCCUCAGACUAUGAAGCAUGUUGAGAAAAGGAAAAUGCCGGUGGAAUUAUACCCAAGGUGAUGGAGACAAUAUUCAAGAGGGUUCAGACUAUGAAGGAAUCCUCAGAGUUUUUGAUUAGGGUAUCUUUUAUCGAGACACCUUCCUUGUGUUUCCAGUAAAGGAAGAGAACUCCAAAUGAGCUUUCCUGUUCAAUAGGUCAAUAAAUUCUACUGUUUAUUCUUUCUGUUGAUUGAAACAGUCACCAUGAACCACUACCUACUUCUAGCUAGUUCUGAUAGUGUAACAGUUUUUAGAUUCCAAUUCACAACUGGUCUUCACAUUCAUGUCGUCUCUACUGCCACUCAUAAUAUUAAAUAUUUUACUAAUUGAAUUGGUAAUCAUUUAGGACAGAACUUAGAGGUAUUUAUAGAGUUACUUUUGAUUUUGUUUUCUAAUCAAAAUAGGAAUUUAUUUUGAUAAUCAAUGUUGACUUUUAAUACGAGCUUUUAAUCACAACUGCAUCUAAGUUUUGUUCAAUCCUUUAUCAACGUGGGUUUUUUUUUUCCUUGAUCUUUCUCCUCGUUGUCCCUGACCGCAUCAAAAUGGUUUCUACUCUAAGUACAAGAAAAUGUACUGAUUGGAACAGCUUGGGCAAAAAAGUCAAAUGGCCUCUCGUCACGACCAUACAGGUUAUUAUUGUGCUAUUUGGGAUGUAUUGACGUGGCUCCAAGAAUGAUGCUUACACUUGAGUAAGUAGGGACUGUGAAAGCUUGGUUCAUGUACUCGAGUGCAUACAAUUAAUACGAGUAAUUAGUUACAAGAGAAUAAAUCAUACAGUAAUUAAUCAACCACCCUAACUAAUCAUUUCCUUGAAGUAAAACCCGCUCCUCUGGUUCAGAAGCCAAUUUCUUCGAUCUUGGAGAAAGUUCGGCAGAGGAAAUUGGAGAUUUUAUAGAAGUAGGUUGAUUUGCGUUAAGAUUGUUGUUGUUCAUUGGGGUAUGGAUAAAAUAAACAUUUGUUUGUUUAUUUUGGUCUAUGGUGUAUAUGGAUCUACAUUUAAUACGCAUAUUAUGUACUUCUAUCUCAAAUUGAAAAGCGAUUAUAUGAA